GUCUUUUUGUUAAUUAUUUAAGGUUUGGCCUGCUCCAUGAUUAAAUUAAAUAGCCGCAGUAUUUUGACUGUGCAAAGGUAGCAUAAUCAUUAGUUUUUUAAUUGAAAGCUGGAAUGAAUGGUCGGAUGAGAAAGAAUCUGUCUCAUUUUAAUUUAAUUUGAAUUUUAUUUUUAAGUUAAAAAGCUUAAAUUUUAUAGAAAGACGAGAAGACCCUAUAGAGUUUAAUAAGUAAAUAGGUUAAUUAUUGUAGGAUUUUAAUGUGAUUAAUUAAUUACUUGUUUUGUUGGGGUGACAUGAGAAUUGAAUUAACUUCUUAAGAUUUUUACAUUAAUUAAUGGUUGAAUGAUCCUGAUUUUUGGAUUUAAAGAAAAAAUUACCUUAGGGAUAACAGCGUAAUCUUCUUGGAGAGUUCUAAUCGAUAAGAGGGAUUGCGACCUCGAUGUUGGAUUAAAGUUAAGUUCUGGUGCAGAAGCUAGAAUUUUAAGUCUGUUCGACUUUUAAAACUUUACAUGAUCUGAGUUUAAACCGGCGUGAGCCAGGUUGGUUUCUAUCUUUUAUAUGUAAAAUAUUUUAGUACGAAAGGACCAGGUAUUUGAAUAAUAUUUUUAAUUUGAAUAAAAUUGUUAUUUUGGCAGAUUAGUGCAAUAGAUUUAGAAUCUUUAUAUGUAAUUUUAUUACAAAUAACAAUUUAUUUUAUUGAUUUGAUUUUGUUGUUUAUUUCGGUAUUAAUUUUAGUUGUGUGUGUUUUAGUAGGCGUGGCAUUUCUAACUCUUUUAGAGCGUAAGGUUUU
rnacentral:rRNA from 1 species